rnacentral:rRNA from 1 species
CUCGGCAACGGAUAUCUAGGCUCUCGCAUCGAUGAAGAACGUAGCAAAAUGCGAUACUUGGUGUGAAUUGCAGAAUCCCGUGAACCAUCGAGUUUUUGAACGCAAGUUGCGCCCGAAGCCUUCGGGCCGAGGGCACGCCUGCCUGGGCGUCACGCAUCGCGUCGCCCCCCCCCCUCCACCCCGUCC